GACGAACGCUGGCGGCGUGCUUAACACAUGCAAGUCGAACGGAAAGGCCCUGCUUUUGUGGGGUGCUCGAGUGGCGAACGGGUGAGUAACACGUGAGUAACCUGCCCUUGACUUUGGGAUAACUUCAGGAAACUGGGGCUAAUACCGGAUAGGAGCUCCUGCUGCAUGGUGGGGGUUGGAAAGUUUCGGCGGUUGGGGAUGGACUCGCGGCUUAUCAGCUUGUUGGUGGGGUAGUGGCUUACCAAGGCUUUGACGGGUAGCCGGCCUGAGAGGGUGACCGGCCACAUUGGGACUGAGAUACGGCCCAGACUCCUACGGGAGGCAGCAGUGGGGAAUAUUGCACAAUGGGCGGAAGCCUGAUGCAGCAACGCCGCGUGCGGGAUGACGGCCUUCGGGUUGUAAACCGCUUUCGCCUGUGACGAAGCGUGAGUGACAGUAAUGGGUAAAGAAGCACCGGCUAACUACGUGCCAGCAGCCGCGGUGAUACGUAGGGUGCGAGCGUUGUCCGGAUUUAUUGGGCGUAAAGGGCUCGUAGGUGGUUGAUCGCGUCGGAAGUGUAAUCUUGGGGCUUAACCCUGAGCGUGCUUUCGAUACGGGUUGACUUGAGGAAGGUAGGGGAGAAUGGAAUUCCUGGUGGAGCGGUGGAAUGCGCAGAUAUCAGGAGGAACACCAGUGGCGAAGGCGGUUCUCUGGGCCUUUCCUGACGCUGAGGAGCGAAAGCGUGGGGAGCGAACAGGCUUAGAUACCCUGGUAGUCCACGCUGUAAACGGUGGGUACUAGGUGUGGGGUCCAUUCCACGGGUUCCGUGCCGUAGCUAACGCUUUAAGUACCCCGCCUGGGGAGUACGGCCGCAAGGCUAAAACUCAAAGGAAUUGACGGGGCCCCGCACAAGCGGCGGAGCAUGCGGAUUAAUUCGAUGCAACGCGUAGAACCUUACCUGGGUUUGACAUGGAUCGGGAGUGCUCAGAGAUGGGUGUGCCUCUUUUGGGGUCGGUUCACAGGUGGUGCACGGCUGUCGUCAGCUCGUGUCGUGAGAUGUUGGGUUAAGUCCCGCAACGGGCGCAACCCUUGUUCACUGUUGCCAGCACGUUAUGGUGGGGACUCAGUGGAGACCGCCGGGGUCAACUCGGAGGAAGGUGGGGAUGACGUCAAGUCAUCAUGCCCCUUAUGUCCAGGGCUUCACGCAUGCUACAAUGGCUGGUACAGAGAGUGGCGAGCCUGUGAGGGUGAGCGAAUCUCGGAAAGCCGGUCUCAGUUCGGAUUGGGGUCUGCAACUCGACCUCAUGAAGUCGGAGUCGCUAGUAAUCGCAGAUCAGCAACGCUGCGGUGAAUACGUUCCCGGGGCU
rnacentral:rRNA from 1 species